GGUUUUGUAGUGUAGCGGUUAUCACUCCAGAUUCUGAUCCCAGCAUUCUGGUAACCCCGGUUCGAUUCCGGGCAAGACCU